rnacentral:rRNA from 1 species
UACGGAGGGUGCAAGCGUUGUCCGGAAUCACUGGGCGUAAAGCGCGUGCAGGCGGCCUGUUAUGUCGGGUGUGAAAUCCCACGGCUCAACCGUGGAACUGCGCCCGAAACUGGCAGGCUUGAGUGCGGGAGGGGGAGGUGGAAUUCCCGGUGUAGAGGUGAAAUUCGUAGAUAUCGGGAAGAAUACCGGUGGCGAAGGCGACCUCCUGGCCCGUUACUGACGCUCAGACGCGAAAGCGUGGGGAG